rnacentral:tRNA from 1 species
ACGGAUGGGGCCGGCUGGGCAGGCGCUGGUUUCCAAAACCAGUACAGACAGGUUCGAUUCCUGUCGUCCGUGC